rnacentral:ncRNA from 2 species
GGUCAUGAGCACCAGCGACAAGCCCCGGCUCGCUGGUCGGCAACCCUCCUUCGCGGUGGGGUGCCCCGGGUGAGGACCAGGCCGCGCCCCAACCGGUGUCGGCAAGCGCGAGUA